rnacentral:rRNA from 1 species
CCUACGGGCGGCAGCAGUGAGGAAUAUUGGUCAAUGGGCUUACGCCUGAACCAGCCAAGUCGCGUGAGGGAAGACUGCCCUAUGGGUUGUAAACCUCUUUUGUCAGGGAGCAACGCCGGCUACUUGUAGCCGGACUGAGAUUACCGGAAGAAAAAGCACCGGUUAACUCCGUGCCAGCAGCCGGGGUAAUACGGAGGAUGCGAGCGUUAUACGGAUUUAUUGGGUUUAAAGGGUGCGUAGGCGGAAUGCCAAGUCAGCGGUAAAAUCGCGGGGCUCAACCUCGCUCCGCCGUUGAAACUGGCGGUCUGGAGUGGGCGAGAAGUAUGCGGAAUGCGUGGUGUAGCGGUGAAAUGCUUAGAUAUCGCGCAGAACCCCGAUUGCGAAGGCAGCAUACCGGCGCCCAACUGACGCUGAGGCACGAAAGCGUGGGUAUCGAACAGGAUUAGAUACCCUAGUAGUC